CCUACGGGCGGCAGCAGUGAGGAAUAUUGGUCAAUGGGCGCGAGCCUGAACCAGCCAAGUAGCGUGAAGGAUGACUGCCCUACGGGUUGUAAACUUCUUUUAUAAAGGAAUAAAGUGAGGCACGAGUGCCUUUUUGUAUGUACUUUAUGAAUAAGGAUCGGCUAACUCCGUGCCAUCAGCCGCGGUAAUACGGAGGAUCCGAGCGUUAUCCGGAUUUAUUGGGUUUAAAGGGAGCGUAGAUGGGUUGUUAAGUCAGUUGUGAAAGUUUGCGGCUCAACCGUAAAAUUGCAAUUGAUACUGGCAGUCUUGAGUACAGUUGAGGUAGGCGGAAUUCGUGGUGUAGCGGUGAAAUGCUUAGAUAUCACGAAGAACUCCGAUUGCGAAGGCAGCUUACUAAACUGCCACUGACAUUGAUGCUCGAAAGUGUGGGUAUCAAACAGGAUUAGAUACCCUUGUAGUC
rnacentral:rRNA from 1 species